UGCCUCAGACAUGCAAGUCGAACGCGAAAGUCCCCUUCGGGGGACAAGUAGAGUGGCGCACGGGUGAGUAACACGUAGGUAAUCUACCUUUGGAUGGGGAAUAACAACCGGAAACGGUUGCUAAUACCGCAUAAUGCAGCGGCACCUAAUGGUGACAGUUGUUAAAGCGGGGGAUCGAAAGACCUCGCGUCUGAAGAGGAGCCUGCGGCGGAUUAGCUAGUUGGUAAGGUAAUGGCUUACCAAGGCUACGAUCCGUAACCGGCCUGAGAGGGCGGUCGGUCACACUGACACUGACAUACGGGUCAGACUCCUACAGGAGGCAGCAGUCGGGAAUUUUGGGCAAUGGGCGAAAGCCUGACCCACCAACGCCGCGUGAAGGAUGAAAUCCCUCGGGAUGUAGGCUUC
rnacentral:rRNA from 1 species